rnacentral:rRNA from 1 species
UUAAGAUAUAAUAAUAUACCGGAUAAUACGAUCAACAGAUUAAAAUUCAAAGAAAUUGGCGGUGUCUUAUAUAAUCAGGGGAACCUGUCCUUUAAUUCGAUAAUCCACGUAAAUCAAACCUAUAUUUGAAAUAUCAGCUUGUGUACUGCUGUCGCCAGUAAACCUCUAAAAGUCAGUUUACAAUAAUAAAUACUAUUAUUCACGUCAAGUCAAAGUGCAGCCAAUAUAUAGGAAGUUGAUGGGUUACAAUCUAAAUACAGAAACGAAUAAAUAUAAUAAAAAUAUUUUGAAGGUGGACUUGAAAGUAAUAAAUAAAUAAUAAAUUUAUAAAUAAUAAUCUAAGACAUGCACACAUCGCCCGUCACUCUCGCUUUAAAGUG